UACGGAGGAUCCGAGCGUUAUCCGGAUUUAUUGGGUUUAAAGGGUGCGUAGGUGGUUUGAUAAGUCAGCGGUGAAAGUUUGCAGCUUAACUGUAAAAAUGCCGUUGAAACUGUCGGACUUGAGUGUAAAUGAGGUAGGCGGAAUGCGUGGUGUAGCGGUGAAAUGCAUAGAUAUCACGCAGAACUCCGAUUGCGAAGGCAGCUUACUAAGCUACAACUGACACUGAAGCACGAAAGCGUGGGGAUCAAACAGGAUUAGAUACCCCU
rnacentral:rRNA from 1 species